AGGAUAUUAAUAUGAAUAUGAACUCAAUUAUAUUAGAAGUUAAUAGACCCGAAGGAAUUAAAUCACUCUUCUUUGACUCCAGUUACGGCUAAGGCACCCGCUAUAGUGCGCAUGUUACAACAUAUAAUUACCGAUGAGGUAUUUCGAUAUGGUCUUAUUAAAUAUUUACACACGCAUCAGUUCGACUACUUCCGACGACUUAUGGAACGCUUUGCAAGCAGUACUAGAUACAUCAGAUGUCCCGCA